rnacentral:lncRNA from 1 species
CAACCAGUGUUUUGGUAUAAAAUGCCUGUCUUGUUUUCAAAACUCAAUCAAGACAGUCAUUAAGCCACACGAUAUACUAAAAUGGUAAGUUUUCCUGUAUGGUCUGUUUCUGUUUAAGAAACACAAAAUAAAACAACAAUAAAUAAUACACUGUCCACCAAAAAACUUACACACUUUACAGUAUUGCUGACAAUGAUGACCAGAAAUUAAAUAGAGAACGACAUUCUUUUCCUCUCUCAGUGGCAAUUUAAUAGUUAUUCAUGUUUGAGUUCCCAGAGAAGAAUGAUUUCAUGUAUAGUAAAUUGUUACUGUUUUGUUUUAAAGCCAGGACUUGCCAAAUGGACAGAAAAGAGGAAUUUGUCAGAAGCUCCAUGAAAUUCAUUUUCUUUAUGCGUAGUUGCAGGCCGGAGUCAUGGUUGGCAAGAAUGUGAGGAACCCCUGAAGAGUUCAUUACCGAGUGAAUGCUCACAGGAGGAACUUCAGAAAUAGCCAGUUUUGCUCCAGUGUGAUAAAUGAGGAGAAACGGAAUUGCAAUGUCAUCUGUGUUGAGUCUUGCUGACCGCUAACACCUCCUUUGGAGGCAGACGCUCACCAGCGCUAACAUCGGCCCUGCCCCAGGCAGUUAGAAAUUUGUGCUCCAGUCCUUGGGUUCACACUUGCACCCUGUUUGACAUAAAUACUUUAAAUGACAUACAAUGUAUGUAGUUUUGUGCUUAUUACUUUUUAAAAGAAUAAAUAAUAUUAAAAACUGCAUAACGAAGCUCGGUAUCUUGUCCAAGUGGGGGCCACACUUGCAGUGCUAGAAGUCGAUGCCCGACAGUAGAAUUGGAAUUUCGUGUCAUCGAAUACCGAAAGAUGGAAAGCAUGUCCUGUCCUUUUCUCCUUAGAAAUGGUUUUUAUCAUGAAAUGACGGCAAGUUGACUUCCCGGAUAGAAAAAUGGCGAAUGCGUAUUUGGUACCAACUUCAACUAAACAGCGCAGUGGCGGCGGCUCUCUUCUUGCCCUGGAAUGGAAACUGAUCACCGCGUGAGGUUUGAGGGUCUGAGGACUGGCAGGAAGGCCUUUCUGUCAUGAGCCACGGUGUGACCUCCCUCUUGGCUUCCCUUUCUCUGGUUAAUACGCUACAGGAAGAGUGAUUCUGCUCAUGCCCCCCCAGGCCUUGGCUGUCGUGGCUCCUCCACGAAGGCUGUCCCCAUCCUGAGAGCUCUUGUGGCAGGUGCCUUAAUAUAUAGCUAUAAAUAUCAAAAAUAGUCUCCUGUGCUUUGUAGACAUUUAUUUCUCCCUCCCUCCCUCCUUCCCUUCCCACCCGGCCUGGGUCCUCAGCUUUACCUCAUG